CUUCCAGUGUUGUGCAUUCAUCGCGUCGGUGUGCGUGUGUUUGGGGUUUGGGCAGUGGCUUUCGGGUAAAAUUUCCGCGGUGGCUCCGGGACUCACGACGAAAGAGAAAAAAAAGAGUGAACGAAAAUAAAAAGUGUAAAGUGAAGGUUUUGACGUAGUGUUGUACAUCGUAUACGCGGGGUUAUAGUUUAGCUAUUGGGUUCACAUGGGAAUCAGUGGUCGUUAGUGACAAUUAGAAAAUAUUAAUUGAAACAUUAUUUCGUGUCUCGUGAGCCCUGUGUAUUUAUCAUUUUUUUUUUCAUCCAAGGAAAAACAGUACAAGGAUAACAUUUAUCUGGUUUUACCAUGGGAAACGUACACACUUGCGGCCCAAAUGAAGCUCUUGUUGUAUCAGGAGGGUGCUGUGGCUCCACGAGGAAACGAACGAUAGUGGGAGGCUACGCCUUCUGCUGGUGGUUCGUCACGGACGUUCAGCGUCUCUCCCUGGAGGUAAUGACCCUGAACCCCGUGUGCGAGAGCGUAGAAACUGCUCAGGGUGUACCCCUGACUGUGACAGGUGUUGCCCAGUGCAAAAUCAUGAAGGCGGAUGAGCUCCUGCACACCGCGAGUGAACAGUUUCUCGGCAAAAGUGUUCAUGAGAUCAAGUCCACUAUCCUGUCGACACUCGAGGGACAUCUUCGUGCCAUUCUCGGUACACUUUCGGUGGAGGAAGUCUACAAAGAUCGCGAUCAGUUCGCGACCCUCGUUCGAGAAGUGGCGGCUCCAGACGUAGGUCGAAUGGGCAUUGAAAUUCUGUCAUUCACCAUUAAGGAUGUCUACGAUAAUGUCCAGUACCUUGCGUCCUUAGGAAAGGCUCAAACGGCAGCGGUGAAGAGAGACGCGGAUGUUGGAGUGGCUGAAGCCAAUCGUGACGCUGGCAUCAGGGAAGCUGAAUGUGAAAAAUCAGCGAUGGACAUAAAGUACAACACGGAUACAAAAAUCGAGGAUAAUGCGCGACUCUAUCAGCUACAAAAGGCUAAUUUCGAUCAAGAAGUCAACACGGCUAAAGCUGAGGCCCAACUGGCCUACGAACUUCAAGCCGCGAAGAUCAAGCAGAAAAUAAGGAAUGAGGAGAUUCAGAUCGAGGUUGUAGAGAGGCGCAAGCAGAUUGAAGUUGAAGAGCAGGAAGUACGUAGAAAGGAGCACGAGUUGAGAAGUACUGUCCGUUUACCUGCUGAGGCUGAGUACUACAAGAUGGGGAGAAUUGCGGAGGGAAAGAGAAUGCAAACUGUAGAAAAUGCAAAAGCAGAGGCGGAAAAAAUUCGAUUGCUGGGUGAAGCUGAGGCCCAGAGUCUCGAAGUGGUUGGGGUGGCCGAGGCCGAGAGAAUGCGCCUCAAAGCUGGUGUUUACAAGAAAUAUAACGAUGCUGCAAUACUUAAUAUCGUUCUCAACGCCAUGCCGAAGAUCGCUGCCGAAGUUGCCGCACCACUUGCCAGGACAGAAGAGAUCGUCUUGCUGGGUGGCAACGAUGGAACCAGCGGAGAAUUGACACGUCUCGUUGGUCAAGUUCCCCCUGCCGUUCAAGCACUCACUGGUGUUGAUCUUUCCAAAGUUUUAGCUAAAAUACCUGGAGCCAAGUAAUUCACAGUACGAUUCAUCAACGAGCGUUAACGAUCUAUCCAAUGAAUUCUACCCCACGUAUCCCCCCAGAGUGCGCACUGCAGCUGUGACGAGAGGAUAUGUUUGAUAAUUACUGCCACCGAAUUUCUCUCAACUAACUCUGAUUCCACAUGAAACAAGAGCUAUCCUACACAAACUUUCGUCUCUCUCUCCCCCGAAUUUUUCUACCUCAAUAUUUCUGACGUUGGAAUGCGAUGUGACGGAAGGCUGUGUACUGGAAGCUAUUGUUGAUGGUGUUGAGUUUGAUGAACUGACAACGACAACUGGCUUCACAAGGGUCGUGGUAUUGAGAUACUGGGCAUUGACGAGUGGCACUUGACCCACGGAUUUCAGUAUCGGCGUUGUUAUCAUCUUUCCAGCUAGAUUCGAGGGGGCCAGUAUGUGAGCUGUCACCUGGUUUCCCUGGGAUACAACUGUCAUUGGAGUUACUAUUGGAGUCAGGCCUGAGAGGGUUGUGUGCUGGCCAACAAUGUGGGCUAUGCUCUCUGUGGACGGUGAACUCUGCAUCAUUGGCUUGCCAGUGGAUGUUUGGAGGGAGACGCCAGCGUGACUCAGUGUCAAUCCUGAUGCACAAAGUACAAAAAAAAAUUAUUUAACA